rnacentral:rRNA from 1 species
GGUUAAGCGACUAAGCGUACACGGUGGAUGCCCUGGCAGUCAGAGGCGAUGAAGGACGUGCUAAUCUGCGAUAAGCGUCGGUAAGGUGAUAUGAACCGUUAUAACCGGCGAUUUCCGAAUGGGGAAACCCAGUGUGUUUCGACACACUAUCAUUAACUGAAUCCAUAGGUUAAUGAGGCGAACCGGGGGAACUGAAACAUCUAAGUACCCCGAGGAAAAGAAAUCAACCGAGAUUCCCCCAGUAGCGGCGAGCGAACGGGGAGCAG